rnacentral:rRNA from 1 species
UACGUAGGCGGAAUAUUAAGUCAGUGGUAAAAUCCUGCGGCUCAACCGUAGAACUGCCAUUGAUACUGAUAUUCUUGAAUGUAGUUGAGGUAGGCGGAAUGUGUAAUGUAGCGGUGAAAUGCUUAGAUAUUACACAGAACACCGAUUGCGAAGGCAGCUUACUAAACUAUGAUUGACGCUGAGGUACGAAAGCGUGGGGAGCGAACAGGAUUAGAUACCCUGGUAGUC